GACGAACGCUGGCGGCGUGCUUAACACAUGCAAGUCGAACGGAAAGGCCCUGCUUUUGUGGGGUGCUCGAGUGGCGAACGGGUGAGUAACACGUGAGUAACCUGCCCUUGACUUUGGGAUAACUUCAGGAAACUGGGGCUAAUUCCGGAUAGGAGCUCCUGCUGCAUGGUGGGGGUUGGAAAGUUUCGGCGGUUGGGGAUGGACUCGCGGCUUAUCAGCUUGUUGGUGGGGUAGUGGCUUACCAAGGCUUUGACGGGUAGCCGGCCUGAGAGGGUGGCCGGCCACAUUGGGACUGAGAUACGGCCCAGACUCCUACGGGAGGCAGCAGUGGGGAAUAUUGCACAAUGGGCGGAAGCCUGAUGCAGCAACGCCGCGUGCGGGAUGACGGCCUUCGGGUUGUAAACCGCUUUCGCCUGUGACGAAGCGUGAGUGACGGUAAUGGGUAAAGAAGCACCGGCUAACUACGUG
rnacentral:rRNA from 1 species